rnacentral:rRNA from 1 species
ACAGGGAUUGCCCUAGUAACGGCGAGUGAAGCGGCAACAGCUCAAAUUUGAAAUCUGGCGUCUUUGGCGUCCGAGUUGUAAUUUGCAGAGGGCGCUUUGGCAUCGGCGGCGGUCCAAGUUCCUUGGAACAGGACGUCACAGAGGGUGAGAAUCCCGUACGUGAUCGCUAGCCUUUACCGUGUAAAGCCCCUUCGACGAGUCGAGUUGUUUGGGAAUGCAGCUCUAAAUGGGAGGUAAAUUUCUUCUAAAGCUAAAUACUGGCCAGAGACCGAUAGCGCACAAGUAGAGUGAUCGAAAGAUGAAAAGCACUUUGGAAAGAGAGUUAAAAAGCACGUGAAAUUGUUGAAAGGGAAGCGCUUGCAGCCAGACUUGCCUGUAGUUGCUCAUCCGGGUUUUUACCCGGUGCACUCUUCUAUAGGCAGGCCAGCAUCAGUUUGGGCGGUUGGAUAAAGGUCUCUGUCAUGUACCUCUCUUCGGGGAGAACUUAUAGGGGAGACGACAUGCAACCAGCCUGGACUGAGGUCCGCGCAUCUGCUAGGAUGCUGGCGUAAUGGCUGUAAGCGGCCCGUCUUGAAACACGGACCAAGGAGUCUAACAUCUAUGCGAGUGUUUGGGUGUCAAGCCCGAACGCGUAAUGAAAGUGAACGGAGGUGGGAACCUUUCGGGGUGCACCAUCGACCGAUCCUGAUGUCUUCGGAUGGAUUUGAGUAAGAGCAUAGCUGUUGGGACCCGAAAGAUGGUGAACUAUGCUUGAAUAGGGUGAAGCCAGAGGAAACUCUGGUGGAGGCUCGCAGCGGUUCUGACGUGCAAAUCGAUCGUCAAAUUUGGGCAUAGGGGCGAAAG